AUCCAGCUGACGAGUCCCAAAUAGGAAUGAACAUGCGUCCUGGAU
rnacentral:hammerhead_ribozyme from 1 species